rnacentral:lncRNA from 10 species
AUUCUGGGAAGCGGAGUUCCAGCCUUUCUCUUUCCGCGGGAGGGAAUGAAAGGGAGGGUGGUGGAUGUGCCCAAGACACAGGGAAGAAAAAGAAGUAAACAGGGAAGUACAACACAGACUCUGAAAUGGGGCAUCAUGGAAGACGGAGCUUUGUCGUCUUGGUCUUUGCUGUAUAUUCACUUCCUACAACAGUGCUAAAUACCUUGUGGAUGCUUAAAUAUAUUAAAUGAAUGCAUAAAUGAAAAGAGUAAAUAAAGAGUGUAUAUGAAAGUAUGUAGAUAAAAUUCUUCACUAAGCCUUGGGGAUCCAGCUGCUUAAGGACUAAGACCGUAUCUAGCUCCUUUUAGUAUUUCCACAGCAUGCCAUGGAGAUACAUGUUUCUGAUUAUAUAUGAUACAUGGAAAUUAUAUGUUGUUGAAUGAGUGAUUGAGUAAAUGUGUACUAGGGCAGCUAAUCAUAAAUAUUUCUACUAUUGCUAAAAUGACUGGAUUUAUCCAUUCCUUCUGAGAGUUUAUACUGAUUGCUUAUAUUGUAUCAAAUACCGUAACUGAGGGCAAUGUUUACUCAAACUAAUAGCACCAUUCAAAUUUAUGCAAACAAUAACACUAUAUCUUUAAAAUGUUUUCACUAAAAGCUGCAUAAAGAGUGUAUUCAACAACAAUAGAAUAAUUUUACAAUCUUUUUUCUUGCUUAAUGGCCAUUUGUGCCUUCUGACAUGCUGCUAGCCAUUCAAAGGUCACACUACCUUGAAGUUGAAGAUCAAGACAAAUGAUUAGACUCAUAAAAGACAAAUCACGUCUUUCUGGACAGGUGAUUAUUAAUAAUUAAUUAGCAUUUAAACAUGUAUUAUUUAAGUUCUUUUUAAGUUAUAAAGUCUUUGAUUUGCUAAACAGUUUAAAUAAUGAAUAAAACAUAAAAUAAUAAUAGUUACCAUUUAUUUAAUUCCAUAAUAACUGAUUUGUAUGUAUUAUAAGCUUUCUUUCUGAAAGCAGAGUUUGGAGGUGGGUUCAUAACUUUCUACAAACAGAAAACUGAGAUUUAGAGGGUUAGCUAGGGAAGAAUUUAAAAUUAGAUCCGUCUUAUUAAAAAAACAAUCUAUGUUCUUGUCUUAGUCAGCUUGGGCCUCCAUAACAAAAUACAAUGGACUGUUGGCUUCAAAAACUGAAACUUAUUUUCUCACAGUUUUGGUGGCUGGUGGGUCAGAGAUCAAGGUGUUGGCCAAAUGUGUUUUUUUUUUUUUUUUUGAGGAUUCUCUUCCUGGCUCACAAAUGGCUGCUUUCCUUGUCAUUGAUGACUUGAUACAGAGGGGGAGAGGGAGAGAGAGAGAGAGCAAAGUGUGUGUUUGUGUGUGUGUCUCUGUGUGUGUUUAUAUUAGAGAGAGAGAGAGACAGAGAUCUUACACUUUUUAUAAGGUCACAGUCUUGUGGUAUUAGUACCUCAUUUUUAUGACCUCAUUUAACCUUAAUUACCUCCUAGAGCCUUUAUCGCCAGAUACAGUCACAUUUCACAUCGAAGGUUUGGGCUUCGACAUAUAAAUUCUGUGGGAUACAAUUCAGUCCAUAGCAAUUCUGAAGCACUAUAAUAUACUCUUUUAAUUUUUAAAUAAAGAUGGAAUUAUUUAAUAUGUUAUCUUUCAGUUGCCUUCUGGGUGUGAUUUACAUUGUGACUUAUAUAUAAUACUAACUCCCUGAAAAACUCUCUGACACAUAA